GCUUUGACUCUUUCAGCUGGUGUCUGCUCAACAGUGAAACCCAGUUUAUCAAUGCUUCAUAACUAAUAGCAACAACAUAGAAAGAGAGAGUAAGAGAGAUUGGGCUUCUUCUUACAUACUCAUUCUAAAGUCAUUUUUAGAAGAUGCACAAUACACUUUAUUUUGGUAUUUGAAGUGAACUGAUAGAACAAUUGGAAUACAACAUUCAGUUCUGAUUUAAUACAUGGCAAAUAAGCAAUGCUAAUCUCAUUUUUUGAUAUUCUCAACUGUUUUUAUGCAUUUUCACUCAUGAUGUGCAAGACACUUAUUACCAUUGAGAAUCAGUAUGCUGCAUCCUUUCGACAACUUAUCAUCAAAUUCCUUCCCAGGUUCAUAUCUCAAUUCCCAUGAACCAUGAAUAUGAGAGAGGCAAAUAUACAUGAACGCCCUUUGAUAUGGGUCCAGCAAUGUGCCCUUUUGUCAUACAGAGAGAAGGGUCAGUGGGCCUCAUAUAUUUAACAGUCCCAAUAUUUGACCUCGUUUCUCAUGGGAAUUUAAUACAAGCUUCUGCCUGAUAGAAUUCAAAAUUUUGCAACAUAGUAGUGCCCAUGUCUAAUUGGUCUUUGAGCAGUAAUAAAUCAUAGUUUUUUCAUUCUCAAUACUAAAUUUAAACAGGUAAUAUAGUUCUCUUUCACGUUCACUAUUCUAAAUGAAUUAAUCAAUACGGGUAUCCUUAAACCAUUUGUUUGGAUCCUUGAAUUGAGGAGAAACUAAAGAGGAGAAAUGAAGAGAAAAGAAAAGAAAAUAAAUUUAAUUUAGUCUAUAUUGUUUGGAUUUAUUAUUAAAAUAGAUAAGAAAUACAAUUUCUACUAUAGUAGAAAUAACUAUUAUACCCUUAUUUUAUUUCUUAUGUUUAUAUUGUUGAAGGAUAUUUAGGUAUUUUAACAAUUAUUUUCCUCCAUUUCUCCUCAUUUCCCACCACUUUAGAGAGAAAUAUUUUGAGUUAAAAUUUCUCUUCAUUUCUCCUUCUUUCCCUUCCUUUCACUUCAACUCUCCUUUCUAUUUGAUGUCCAAACAAAGAAAUUUAAAGAAAUCAAAUUUCU
rnacentral:misc_RNA from 1 species